GACGAACGCUGGCGGCGUGCUUAACACAUGCAAGUCGAACGGAGAUGCCCCUUUGGGGUUUCUCGAGUGGCGAACGGGUGAUUAACACGUCAGUAACCUGCCCUGGACUUCGUGAUAACUUCAGUAAACUGGGGCUAAUACCGGAUAGCACUCCUUGCUGCAUGGUGGGGGUUGGAAAGCUGCGGCGGUUUUGGAUGGACUCGCGGCUUAUCAGCUUGGUGGUUGGGUAGUGGCUUACCAAGGCUUUGACGGGUAGCCGGCCCGGGAGGGCGACCGGCCACAGUGGGACUGAGAUACGGCACAGACUCCUACGGGAGGCAGCAGUGGGGAACAUUGCACAAUGGGCGGAAGCCUGAUGCAGCAACGCCGCGUGCGGGAGGACGGACUUCGGGUUGUAAGCCGCUUUCAGCAGGGGCGAAGCUUGUGGUGACGGUACCUGCAGAAGAAGCACCGGCUAACUACGUG
rnacentral:rRNA from 1 species